rnacentral:rRNA from 1 species
GGCGGCAGGCCUAACACAUGCAAGUCGAGCGGAUGACAGGAGCUUGCUCCUGAAUUCAGCGGCGGACGGGUGAGUAAUGCCUAGGAAUCUGCCUGGUAGUGGGGGACAACGUUUCGAAAGGAACGCUAAUACCGCAUACGUCCUACGGGAGAAAGCAGGGGACCUUCGGGCCUUGCGCUAUCAGAUGAGCCUAGGUCGGAUUAGCUAGUUGGUGAGGUAAUGGCUCACCAAGGCGACGAUCCGUAACUGGUCUGAGAGGAUGAUCAGUCACACUGGAACUGAGACACGGUCCAGACUCCUACGGGAGGCAGCAGUGGGGAAUAUUGGACAAUGGGCGAAAGCCUGAUCCAGCCAUGCCGCGUGUGUGAAGAAGGUCUUCGGAUUGUAAAGCACUUUAAGUUGGGAGGAAGGGUUGUAGAUUAAUACUCUGCAAU